CAAGAAAGGACCUGCUGUAUAGCACAGGGGACUCUACUCAGUCCUGUUCAGUGGCCUAUGUGGGAAAAGAAUCUGAACAAGAAAGGAUGCGUGUAUAUGUAUAACUGAAUCACUAUGCUGUACACCUGAAACUAACACAACAUUGUAAAUCAACUAACCUUCAGCUUUUUGAAAAGAGAAGUGUCCAUCAUGGAUGAAGAGUGGAGUCCAGAGGCAGUGUUGGUAGGAUUCCCUCUGAUGGCAUGUAGAAGCGACAGCUAUAGAAUUUCACAUCUGGGGUCCAUCAGUCACUUCUCACCACAAAGCAAGAUUAGACGAGGCAGGGAGUCUGUCCUUCUCUAUCCUCCUCGGCACAGUCAUUUUCCAAAUCUCCAGCCCAAACCCCUGAGCACAUUUCCGCUCCUGUUCAUCCUUAGGCCACAUAAGGUCUCUUCUCUCCACCCCCUUCUCCUCCUCCAGAACUCAGUUUUCUCCAUGCUGACUUGUCUAGCAAAUGCAAGGGGCCCCGUAUCCUGUCAUGGCUUCCUAUGCACUUUGUCACUUGCAGUCCAGUGGUAGGGAGUGAUUUUCCCCAGCAAGAGCAGCCAAGGAGGUCAGCGGACACCUUGGUACAAGAGCAGGAACAGUGGUCAUGGUGAUGGGUUUUUAUAUGAACCUCCCUCUGAAAGACCCAGUGUGAGAGAGGGAGGGAAGGCCAAGCUGUGAGUGAUCCAGGCAGGAAACACCAAGAGACGCCAUACCUGUGGCCCCAAUAAUGAGCCCGGUGAGAUUCCCCACACAGGUUUCUUCCGAUCAUCUUGUUGCUGUUUGAAAAUGUCUUUAAACAGGUGCCUGGCACAUGGGACAGAAGAAGGUAGGAAGGAGAGGGCAAACAGGAGUCUUGCUGCCCUUCCCGAGGGUAACUCGGGAGCCUUAACUGACUGUGACACGGCUGCCACUGUGUUUGUCAUUCCUGAUGAGUCUCUGUCUCUUUUGCUUUCAGCUCGGGGACCUGCUUCAGAAGCUACAGUUCGUCAUGACAUAUGUGGCUCCCUGGCAGAUGGCCUGGGGCUCCUCGUUUCACGUGUUUGCUCAGCUCUUCGCAAUCCCUCAUUCUGCCAUGCUUUUCUUUCAGACGUUCGCCACGUCAAUCUUUUCUACUCCAUUGAGCCCCUUUCUUGGGAGUGUCAUCUUUAUCACAUCAUAUGUCAGGCCCGUGAAAUUCUGGGAGAAAAACUACAAGUAAGACCCUAAAAUCGAUGCUGACUUACUUUGCUAGGAUUUGGGGUCAGGAUGCUCUUGACCUUCCUCUAUGCAAAGUCCAGCUCCAUGCUUUGUCCUCCAAGAGGUGGCCCCCACCCCCCACCCCAGAUCAUCCACUCAGCACAGGGUGGCUUCCAGACUCUGGACCAAGCAUGACCGAUGGCCAAUUUGCACUCCUCCUGGUUUCACCAAUUAUGCAGGAAAAAUGAGUCACCACCGCCUACUCUUAGCAGUUGCCUUCAGAGAGGUGGUCUCAGGAGCCAUGGUCCUGUUUCUUGAUUAUCCUGCUCUUAUUUGAUGAUGGCUGCAGGCCUUAGAACUAUGCUUGUCACGUACAACUGUCCAUGCAUCACAGCUCAGCAUCACAGAGCACACCAUUUUUUUCUGAGCACCAUUGAACUUGUAAAAGAUGAUGAAUGCACUUUGUCUUGACUGUGUGGACUGGUCAGUCAAGAAUUUCCUCACGCAAACAGGGAUGGAGUGAGGGGUGGUGGGAAGGGAGGAAUAAUGGUUCCCUGAGUGGCUUUGAAGAACUGUUGAUUUGUGGUGGGGAGGGCCUGAGAACAGCCAGAGAGGGGAGCGGAGUAAGGGGGCUGGUCUCCAACCAGGUCGUCUUCCCUGGCUAACCUUCUCUGUCCUAAUUUACUAGCUGUCCCUGGGCUGGUUCCGUUUGCAAGUCCUACUGCAUCCUCUGUGAUCUGUCUCCAUUUCCCACAGCUCUGCCACCUUCAUGUCUCGUCUCCGAGAGGCCGGCGUUAAGUUAGGAGAUCUGUGGCUAGAUGGUUUCUGUCAGGUGAAAUGCACAUCUGUCUGGGGCAGGAGGUCGUGUUCCCAAAGGGAAGGUUCUCGUCGCAGGAGGAAUUCAGAAACGAGCGGGAAAUUGUGAAAGAAAAGCAAGGAUUUAGUUGAGUGAAAAAUAUACCUCUUCAAGAGAGGCAGGCAGAGAGGCUAGCAGCUGCUCUAUGUUUCUCAGACGCAUUGGUUAUAAGCGGCAUCCAACUGCUUGGGAGGAAUAUUGACUGGGAAGGAGGGGUUUGGGGGUCAUAUUUCUUAAUUUUCACUGCAGCUCCACUUUCCCAAAGGGAGGAGGGAUUUUUGUCUUUAUUUAGCUUCCACUGGCAGCGUCUUGGGG
rnacentral:lncRNA from 9 species